rnacentral:rRNA from 1 species
GAUUAACGCUGGCGGCAUGCCUAAUACAUGCAAGUCGAACGGAGUAGCAAUACUUAGUGGCGAACGGGUGAGUAACACGUAUCUAAUCUACCAUUUAGUGGGGAAUAACUGUUGGAAACGACAGCUAAUACCGCAUAAUAUUGCUGGAUAAUUUCCAGUAAUGAAAGGAGCUUUCAAGCUCCGCUGAUUGAUGAGGAUGCGGCGCAUUAGCUAGUUGGUAGGGUAAUGGCCUACCAAGGCAAUGAUGCGUAGCCGAUCUGAGAGGAUGAACGGCCACAUUGGGACUGAGACACGGCCCAAACUUCUACGGAAGGCAGCAGUAGGGAAUUUUUCACAAUGGGCGAAAGCCUGAUGGAGCAAUGCCGCGUGACUGAUGAAGGUCUUCGGAUUGUAAAGGUCUGUUGUAAGGGAAGAAAUGGUAAAACAGGAAAUGGUUUUAUCUAUGACGGUACCUUACCAGAAAGCCACGGCUAACUAUGUGCCAGCAGCCGCGGUAAUACAUAGGUGGCAAGCGUUAUCCGGAUUUAUUGGGCGUAAAGGGUGCGUAGAC